AAAUAAGUAAGCUAAUUUAAAGCUUUUAGGUUCAUACCCUAAAAAUAGAUAUAUAACCCUCUCUUAUUUA
rnacentral:tRNA from 1 species